GAAGACAUAGAGAAAGACAGUAAGAGAGAGAAAGGAGAGAAGAGAGAGGAGUGUUCUUCCUAGUCAGGUGCUCAGCCAGGACGGGAGGAGAAAGAGGAGGGACAGACAGACAGAGAGGCAAAGCUCCCCUCGGCCAGAUGCUCUCCCCACCCCCAGACCAAAGUGGGGUGGUGGAGAGAAGGUUGGAUUUGUAAGUCAGGAAUACUACAGUGCAAAUCUUCCUCUGACCCUCACUCGCUGCGUCACCCUGGGCAAGAUGCUGCACCUCGGAUAAUAACUGAGGCCCAGAAAGGAGAAAUAAUUUGUGCAAGUCCACACAAUAGCAGAGCCAGGAUCAAAACUAAGUGGCUUGGAUACUAAAGACAGUUUUCUCAGCUAGAACUUCCUCUUUCCAGCCGUAACAUCCUCUUCUAAUGCAUCUGUCUCCUAUGCCUGGAAUGCCCUUCCUUCUCAUCGCCACCUCUUGGAAUCCCAACCUCCUUGGAGACGCUGCUUGAACACCACUUUCCGCAUGAGGCCCAUCCUACUUCAACAGCUGAUAAUGCCUCCAAAAGAAAAACCAUUUCUUUUGCCUAUAACUAUGUAUGUGCCUGUAGUCUCCCCUUUUAGAACAUAAACUUUCAAAGGCCAGGGACAAUUUCAUUUCGGUCCUUAUAUUCCUCGUAUCUAGUACCGUGCCUGGAACACAGCGGACAUUUAAUCAAUUCUGUUAAUUGUCAGAUCGCCGACCAGAGAAGUUCCUCUUUUAGUCAGCAACAUGGAAUGUGCGACCUCAUCUAGAGAGGCUAGGCUUGGCAAUGUGGCCUACAAAGUCAGAGGAACAUUCUGCCAAUACACCCUCUCACCUAUGGGGGUCUUCCAAGGCCUUGCCAGGCUGGGUUCAACCCUGGAAGAAACAACAAUUUUUUAAAAAUCAACAUCAGAAUGGAAAAA